AACUGCAUGGCCUCAGUGUGGAGCUGCACCCUGAAAGGAGGCUUACUGGGCUCCAGGCACAGCAAGGGGCAUGUCCUGUGCUCCAUCCCUGCUCCCACUUUCCAUUCUGUUCCAGGACCUGGGCUCACGUUUCUUUCUGUGUUUUAACUUCAGCUGAACUCUUGAAAAGUUUCCUUUCAAAGGUGGCAUGUGAGAGUGUAGAAAAGAUUUCUAGAUUCAUCAAAUUUAUGACCGAGAAGGGACAUUAGAUCAUCCCAUCUCAUCUCCUCACCACAGCCUUUCAUUUUCACCCUUUUACCUGUGUGUUGCAUCCCGCCACGUGAAUUCUGUGGGAGCACGUCUUCCAGGAAAGCAUCCCAUCUUGAAGAAAUCAGGCGGCGGAGAAUCCACUGCUUCCCUCAGCAGUUCGUCUGGGUUAAAGAGCCCUUUAGGACCCAGAUUUUCCUCCUUGUGAAGAGGCUUAGGCAACGUAAUCAGAACGGCUUGCGGUCUUCUUUUUUGAUAAGCUAAGCGAAAAUUAGUGAGCUGAUGAAGCCUCUUGCUGCAAGAUCCCUGCUGGAGCACCAGUUUUGGGGAGA